rnacentral:rRNA from 1 species
UACGUAGGAGGCAAACGUUGUCCGGAUUUACUGGGUGUAAAGGGUGCUCAGGCGGUCUCGUAAGUCAGGGGUGAAAUCCCGGAGCUUAACUCCGGAACUGCCUUUGAUACUGCGGGGCUUGAGUGCAGAAGAGGCGGAUAGAACUUCUGGUGUAGCAGUGAAAUGCGUAGAUAUCAGAAAGAAUACCAGUGGCGAGGGCGGGCCGCUGGUCUGUCACUGACGCUGAGGCGAGGAAGGGUGGGUAGCAAACAGG